AUGUUCAAGGAUGCUUUAAUAUUCUUCCUUUUCUCUGCUUGUCAAGGAGACGUCUUGGCUCUAAGUAAUCCCACCAAAGAAAGGGAUACUUGGAAAGGUAAAUGUGAAGCUAUAGAGUUGAGGUGCUCUACUCUCCAGGAGGAUCUUACUACACUGAAGAAGGAGGUUAAAGUUUCCAACUCUUUGCAAGAGGAGGUAGAAUUUCACGUCUAUCCUUCUACUUUAGUGGUUCUGGUGAUAAAACUAGAGGAUACCCUCAUAGAUGCGAAGAAGUGA